UACAGAGGGUGCAAGCGUUAAUCGGAAUUACUGGGCGUAAAGCGUGCGUAGGUGGCUAUUUAAGUCAGCUGUGAAAGCCCUGGGCUUAACCUGGGAACUGCAGUUGAUACUGGAUAGCUAGAGUAGGGUAGAGGGUAGUGGAAUUUCCGGUGUAGCGGUGAAAUGCGUAGAUAUCGGAAAGAACACCAGUGGCGAAGGCGGCUACCUGGACUCAUACUGACACUGAGGCACGAAGGCGUGGGGAGCAAACAGG
rnacentral:rRNA from 1 species